GGCUGCAGCGGCCCCAGGUGCAAACAGACUGCCGCCGAAUGUGAGCAGCGAGGCGAGGGGUCGAGGUAGCGAGGAGUCAGGGUGGCCCGCAGCAGGAAGACAGAAGGCGUGGAGACAGACUGGCGUUUUGCCUCAGAGGAAGAAGUGGGGUCCCCUCUCCCAUUCUGUGAGCAAGUGCCAGUUCCAGUGAUUCGUACUUUCAUGUCCGAGUUGGAAACCUUGGCCCGACGGUGAUGGACUGCACGACUUGCUGGACUCCCAAGUCCGAAGUUCCUGCGGCAGCGCUUGCUUUGUGGCGCCACCUGGAACAAAAGCUCAGACCGCUGAGAUGUUCACUCUGCACUUUCAGCAGCACUCACAUUGAGAUAUGAGAAGACUGCAACAAGAACAAAAGGGUUGUGCCACCUCCUUUGGAUGUGAAGAGGAUGUGCUGACACGUGUGCUCGGGAGCCAGACUUUGUGGCCUUGGGGAAAGGACUGAAUAUUUCUGUGCUUCGUCGUUUGCAUCUGUGGAAUGCAGGUGAUACUGAGCUCUUCCUUGUGGGAUUAUUGCCUGGAAAUACACCAUUAUAGGUUCAUCGCCGCCAGGUUUACCGCGACACUCGGCGUUCUCGGGCCUCAGCGGAAUGGGUUUUAAACCGCGGAGGGAGGCCCAGGCGGAGAGGGUGUAGGCCCACUUUUCUCACUCGUGUCUAAGCAGGCCUUGUCCUGGCGGCAGCCAAGGUGAAGGCAGACGCUGUUUCCGGGAUCCAGUGGACCAGGCCAGGCCAGGGGAUUUGGGCGUGGGCCUCCGAGGCGGCAGUGGGUGGUCCAGGGGCAUUGUGAAGCCGUCAGGCACUGUGGAUGGGGAAGUGCAGGGCCCGCCUGCAGCACUGAAGUUUGGAAAGGCCAAAUACUGCUCCUAACCCGUGCGGCAAGGACUGCCCCAUUCAGUAAGCGGGGCAAAGUCCCGCCUUGACAAGCCUCUCUGUAGUUUCCCUGUGUGCUACACCUGGGCUGCUUCUGCUCGCUUCUUUGAAAAUGGAGAGGGGAGCAGAGGGAAGAACCUUGCAGGUUAUUCACAGGGAACUGACCCUAGGCAGUCAUGUCAGAUUGUUUGCAUGUACUUGUGCACGCGUUUUCAAAUGCAUAAAACCCUGUGCAUGUUUCAAAUGUGUAAACACGUAAGCAUUUUUAUUUGUAUUUCUAUUUCUUUUAUUUAUUUAUUUAUUUAUUUAUUUAUUUAUUUUCUUUUGAGACGGAGUUUCCCUCUUGUUGCCC
rnacentral:lncRNA from 10 species